GACGAACGCUGGCGGCGUGCUUAACACAUGCAAGUCGAACGAUGAAGCCGGAGCUUGCUCUGGUGAAUUAGUGGCGAACAGGUGAGUAACACGUGAGUAACCUGCCCUUGACUCUGGGAUAACUGCUAGAAAUGGUAGCUAAUACCGGAUACGACCCUCGGAGGCAUCUUCAGGGGUGGAAAGAAUUUCGGUCAAGGAUGGACUCGCGGCCUAUCAGCUAGUUGGUGAGGUAAUGGCUCACCAAGGCGACGACGGGUAGCCGGCCUGAGAGGGUGACCGGCCACACUGGGACUGAGACACGGCCCAGACUCCUACGGGAGGCAGCAGUGGGGAAUAUUGCACAAUGGGCGCAAGCCUGAUGCAGCAACGCCGCGUGAGGGAUGACGGCCUUCGGGUUGUAAACCUCUUUUAGUAGGGAAGAAGCGAAAGUGACGGUACCUGCAGAAAAAGCACCGGCUAACUACGUGCCAGCCGCCGCUGUAA
rnacentral:rRNA from 1 species